GCCCCCUGGACGAAGACUGACGCUCAGGUGCGAAAGCGUGGGGAGCAAACAGGAUUAGAUACCCUGGUAGUCCACGCCGUAAACGAUGUCGACUUGGAGGUUGUGCCCUUGAGGCGUGGCUUCCGGAGCUAACGCGGUAAGUCGACCGCCUGGGGAGUACGGCCGCAAGGUUAAAACUCAAAUGAAUUGACGGGGGCCCGCACAAGCGGUGGAG
rnacentral:rRNA from 1 species